rnacentral:rRNA from 1 species
UAGGGAAUCUUCGGCAAUGGGGCAACCCUGACCGAGCAACGCCGCGUGAGUGAAGAAGGUUUUCGGAUCGUAAAGCUCUGUUGUAAGAGAAGAACGUGUGUGAGAGUGGAAAGUUCACACAGUGACGGUAACUUACCAGAAAGGGACGGCUAACUACGUGCCAGCAGCCGCGGUAAUACGUAGGUCCCGAGCGUUGUCCGGAUUUAUUGGGCGUAAAGCGAGCGCAGGCGGUUUAAUAAGUCUGAAGUUAAAGGCAGUGGCUUAACCAUUGUUCGCUUUGGAAACUGUUAAACUUGAGUGCAGAAGGGGAGAGUGGAAUUCCAUGUGUAGCGGUGAAAUGCGUAGAUAUAUGGAGGAACACCGGUGGCGAAAGCGGCUCUCUGGUCUGUAACUGACGCUGAGGCUCGAAAGCGUGGGGAGCAAACAGG